rnacentral:rRNA from 1 species
UACGGGGGGAGCAAGCGUUGUUCGGAUUUACUGGGCGUAAAGGGCGCGUAGGCGGCCACUGCAAGUCAGUUGUGAAAUCUCCGGGCUUAACCCGGAAAGGUCAACUGAUACUGCAGGGCUAGAGUGCAGAAGGGGCAACUGGAAUUCUCGGUGUAGCGGUGAAAUGCGUAGAUAUCGAGAGGAACACCUGCGGCGAAGGCGGGUUGCUGGGCUGACACUGACGCUGAGGCGCGAAAGCCAGGGGAGCAAACGGG